rnacentral:rRNA from 1 species
UACGGGGGGGCAAGCGUUGUUCGGAAUUACUGGGCGUAAAGGGCUCGUAGGCGGCCAACUAAGUCCGACGUGAAAUCCCCAGGCUUAACCUGGGAACUGCGUCGGAUACUGGAUGGCUUGAAUCCGGGAGAGGGAUGCGGAAUUCCAGGUGUAGCGGUGAAAUGCGUAGAUAUCUGGAGGAACACCGGUGGCGAAGGCGGCAUCCUGGACCGGCAUUGACGCUGAGGAGCGAAAGCCAGGGGAGCAAACGGG